AGAAUAUUUCAUACGGUUGACUUGUAUUUUUAAACAAAAUCAUCGUUUAAAAUAUUCAUU
rnacentral:pre_miRNA from 1 species